GUUCAUGGUCAAAUUAGUCUCUGAGUUUGUAAGCGAGUUUAAUUUUAGUCUCUCUGAGGAAAAAAUGACGUUUAGUGGCGGUCAUUUUUACAAUUACUCCGCGAUCUAAAACCCCGCACUAAACAUUAUUUUUCCUCAUAUGGAAUAAAGUCGAACUCGCUUACGAACUCGGGGAAUAAUUUGACUAUUAAC
rnacentral:pre_miRNA from 1 species